GAUGAACGCUGGCGGCGUGCCUAAUACAUGCAAGUCGAGCGAAUGGACGAGAAGCUUGCUUUUCUGAUGUUAGCGGCGGACGGGUGAGUAACACGUGGAUAACCUACCUAUAAGACUGGGAUAACUUCGGGAAACCGGAGCUAAUACCGGAUAAUAUUUUGAACCGCAUGGUUCAAAAGUGAAAGACGGUCUUGCUGUCACUUAUAGAUGGAUCCGCGCUGCAUUAGCUAGUUGGUAAGGUAACGGCUUACCAAGGCAACGAUGCAUAGCCGACCUGAGAGGGUGUGCGCCCACGCUGGAACUGAGUCCCGGUCCACACUCCUACGGGAGGCAGUAGUAGCGGAUCUUCCGCACUGGUCGUAAGCCUGACCGCGCAACGCCGCGUGAGUGAUGUAAGUCUUCGUAUCGUCAAACUCUGUAAUUAUGGAAGUACAUUUGUGUAAGUAACUGUGCACUUCCUGACGGUCCCUAAUCAGAGAGCCCCGGCUAUCUACGUG
rnacentral:rRNA from 1 species